GCACCGGUGAUACCUGAAGAAUCCCAGCAGGAGCACCGGCUCCCACUGUGAAGGCAGACUUCUCCCUUCCCUAGAUCAGUACUUAUACCCGCCUUCGAGAUGGAAAACAGUGGUGUGUCACGCAGCUCCAUGGGGUGCUAAUAACAAUAACAGCAAUCAGCAGAGUGGAGCUCCAAGGAAGUAGGAAAUGACAACCUAGUUUUCCUAUUUGCUGAGGGCAUGGAAGACGGUUCAGUUUGAGAGCUUUGCUAAAAGAAAAUCAUACAAAGGCUGUUGCUAAAAUCAGAACACAAAGUUUGGUACAAAAGAAGUAACCACACUUUGGAGGUGGAAACAUAGCAGUUCCAGGAGGAUAUUGGAGCUCUUCAUGGCUGAUAUGGAGAUAUGGUCCAACAACAUGCAGCUAACUUCAGGGACACACACUCAGGUGUCUCCCAUACAACUGCUCCUUGUCUUCUAGGCUGUUAUUCCUCCUGCUCCACUUGAUGAUGGAACUGCAUUUAAAAAUGGGAGCACCUGCGUACUCCUUUUGUUGAAGUACUGUAACCGGCUGCCGUUUCAGAGGGCUUUGUGAAGUUGAAGUAUUCACUACAGCUAAGCCACUGCAAAGCUAAUGAGAGUGCUGACCUUGAAGAUAGGAAGGUUACCGGCCUCCCAAGAUAAAAAGCCAAGUCUGAUGAAAACUAAACAAAAGAACAGCUGUUGCCUGCUCAAAGUUGAACAUACAGAAUGAAACUUGUCCAAAUGUUCUAACGAGAAACCUCUGAAAGAGAGUAUUGAGAAAAUACUUUGGCUCUGGAAAUGCGAAAGAAAAAUUACAAAGCUGGUUGUUUUUGAGUUUGAGCAUUUAAACACAAUCUAAUAUUUGGCUGUAAACUGUUUGAUGACCUCUCUGAAAUUUUUCACAAAAUUUCCUUGAACAAUUCUGGCAAGAAUAGGACUGUUGCACUAUAAUGGCUGCAGGCCUGGAUGUGGUACAGAUGAGACAGUUACAGGACACUUUCCCCUAGAACUAAAUAUUGCAGCAGAAACAAUAUCUGGGAAUCAGCACUGAAAAUUACAGCAAAAAGAACAAUUUGGGCAAAUAUUGGUAAGAAUUCCUAUGGUAUUGUAACACUUUUCACUAAAUGGAUUGGGCAAUAGAUGAAGAAUCUCAUCAGAUCGUUCUCAGAUAGCUCUUGCUGGUCAGUCAUGUAGCUCUGAUGCGGGGCACAGAAGUUAGGAUUUGCACAAAAAGAUGAAACUUCAUGCAGUGCAACCAUCUCCUCCUCAGCUGGCUGGCUGAGCUCCCUUUAUAGUCAUUGGAGAGAAAUACGUACUCUGAAAAAGCAAGCACUCCUUAAGUUCAGCAAGGAAGAAUAAGAACCUUCAGAAAAUGAUGAUCUCAUCUUACCUAGUGUAGGUGGUGGAUGAGUACUUGUCUCCUUCCACUAUUGCAAGACUAUUUCUCUAAGAGUCAGAAGAGGUACCUCAGGUGGCUGAGGUAGUUGCCUGGUUAGAUAACUAGUAAACCCUGUUCCAACACUGGUGGAAUUACAUCAGUGUAUAGGGUGCAGCACGUCUUCUUUCCCUUCCAACCAUAUGUGCACUUUCAAAUAUUUAUGCUGCAUUCAAAUGAAAGGGUGCCAUGCCAUGCCAUAGUUUUAGAAAUAUUGGCAUUAUUAAAGUUCUCCAGCACUUGAAACACUUUCAAAGCCUUCCUGCACCUGUUUUUCCAGCUUGCUCUCUAAAGAUUAAGCAGUUUCUCUUAUACUUUAAUCUCCACAGUUAUUCUGACAGUAACUUUAGAGUGUAGUGUAAUUGCCACCUAACCAACAUUAUACUGAGCCCAGGUUUUGAAAUGUUAAUAUUGUUUUAUGCCAUUGAGUAAUGACUAGUAACAAGGUAGUGUUUGUAACUCAGGAUGGAUGAAAUUAUUUUGUGGUCAGAAUAGCAAUUAGAAGUCUUUACACUUACGCAUUUUCAAAUCAGCUAUGGUUGCAACUUUUGAAAAAAUCCAGAGGAGACAAAAGCAAGGCAUAGUAGAACAACCCCCGAAGUGCCUUCUUCAUGAAGGAGAAAUCAAAACAACUUUUUUGCAUCUCAGUACUCUAGGUGAUUAUUAGUAACAUAGCUGAUGAAAGCAGUCCUCGCAGAAGUUAAUUAAACUUCUGCAAAAUGAAUUCUGUUAAAUGUUAAAUGACCCUGAUGGGGUUCUUUUGUUAUCUGUGAAGAAACCUGAAUUUAUUUUCAUCCCUGGUUUCCUUCUUUCUGGUCCAGAAGCCAUAGAGUGCAGAAGAGAGCAGCAGACUCGGGCACAGGGGAAUGAGGGAAUUCAGUAGUGCAAAGUGUAAGCUGCUCCAGAUGUGAUGCUGCCAUAGUCUCAGUUGUGAUCUAUUUAAUUAAAAAAUCCUCAUCCCUGUUGUUGGUACUUUGUAGGUGUAAACCUGAUACGUGCAUUUCCAAGUUGAAAUGAUGUCCAGGUUGAAGUGAUUAAAACCGUGCAGCAAUUUUCAUCAGUGUGCUCCAAUGCUCGCUUUGUCUCCUAGCUAAAGUCCCACUAAUUUGGAGCUAUUUGUUGAAGGAGCGGGGAGCUCAGGUAAUGUUUUCCUCAGUCCCUUCAGCAGCAAGUAAAAAUACUGAAAGGAACAGGAAAACCCACCUGAUCAACACGUGGCUAAGAGACUGGUGCUACCAGUGGAACUAUUUUUUUUUUUUUUUCAAACUCAUGGAGCAGUUUGAACAGCUCCAGGCUUGCUGAUGACAGGGUUCACCUAUCUCAAAGGAAGAAAAGGAUUCUAGCCCAGGAGUUGGCAGGGUUUGUUGAGAGGGCUUUAAACUAGAUUUGAAGGGGUAAGGGCAUAAAACCAGGCUCACCAGAGAUGAGCCAAGGGACAGCACGCUCAGGUUGGGGGUGAGACCAAUAGCCCAGCUGAUGCACAUCUGCACCAGUGCAUGGGCAACAAACAGCAGGAACUAGAAACCUCUGUGCAACAGGAACACUAUGACAUAGUCACCUUCAUGAAAACAUGGUGGGAUCACUCUCUUGGCUGGAGUGCUACAGUGGAGGGCUAUAAUCUCUUUAGAAGGGAUAGGCAAGGAAGGACAGGCAUUGGGGUGGCUUUCCAUGUUCGAGAGUGCUUUGAUUCUGCAUAGCUCAGUGCUGGGAAUAAUAAGGUCAAGUUCUUACGGAUAAAGAUUAGGGGGAAGGCCAACAAGGUGGGAGUCUGCUAUAGACCACCCAACCAGGAUGAAGAGGCAGAUGAAGCAUUCUACAUGCAGCUGGCAGAGGUCAUACAGUUGUCAGCCCUUGUUCUCAUGGGGGACAUCAACUUACCAGACAUUUGCUGGAAAUACAAUAGAGCAGAGAGGAAACAAUCUAGGAGGUUCUUGGAGUGUGUAGAAGGUAACUUCCUGACACAGCUACUAAGGGAGGUGCCCCACUACACCUGCUGUUCACAAAGAGAGAAGGACUGGUGAGAGAUGUAGUGGUCAGGAGCUGUCUUGGGCAUAGCGACCACAAAAUGCUAGAGUUCUCUAUUCUUGGUCAAGUCAGAAGAGGGGGUCACCAAAAUGGCUACCUUGGACUUCCGGAGGGCAAACUUCAGCCUGUUCAGAACAUUGGUUGGGAGAGUCCCUCGGGAGACAGUUCUGAAGGGCAGGGGGGACAUGGAAGACUGGACAUUCCUCAAGAAGGAAACCUUGAUUGUCUGAUUCUUUAAUGUUUGUGUAUGUCAAAAUACAAUGACUUUGUGUAAGAGUGAGGGAGUAGGGAAGAGAAAAAAACCCAGCAAAUAUUUCAUUUUCAUAUUGUCAUGGUUUUGUGAUUUUCGGUUAUUGGUAUUCCACAUCAUA